GAGUUUGAUCCUGGCUCAGGACGAACGCUGGCGGUAUGCUUAACACAUGCAAGUCGAACGAGAAGGAAAGAGCUUGCUCUUCUGAAAGUGGCGAACGGGUGAGUAACGCGUGGGUAACCUACCCUUUGGAAAGGAAUAGCCUCGGGAAACUGGGAGUAAUGCCUUAUAAGAUACGUUUGUCGCAUGGCAUUUGUAUUAAACGCUCCGGCGCCAUAGGAUGGACCCGCGUCCCAUUAGCUAGUUGGUGAGAUAACAGCUCACCAAGGCCACGAUGGGUAACCGGUCUGAGAGGGCGAACGGUCACACUGGAACUGAGACACGGUCCAGACUCCUACGGGAGGCAGCAGUGGGGAAUAUUGCGCAAUGGGGGCAACCCUGACGCAGCAAUACCGCGUGAGUGAAGAAGGUUUUCGGAUCGUAAAGCUCUGUUAUUGGGGAAGAAAAAAAGACGGUACCCAAGAAGAAAGUUCCGGCUAACUACGUGCCAGCAGCCGCGGUAAUACGUAGGGAACAAGCGUUGUCCGGAUUUACUGGGCGUAAAGGGCACGCAGGCGGUUUUUUAAGUCAGAUGUGAAAGGC
rnacentral:rRNA from 1 species